GAUGAACGCUGGCGGCGUGCCUAAUACAUGCAAGUCGAGCGAACAGACGAGGAGCUUGCUCCUCUGACGUUAGCGGCGGACGGGUGAGUAACACGUGGAUAACCUACCUAUAAGACUGGGAUAACUUCGGGAAACCGGAGCUAAUACCGGAUAAUAUAUUGAACCGCAUGGUUCAAUAGUGAAAGACGGUUUUGCUGUCACUUAUAGAUGGAUCCGCGCCGCAUUAGCUAGUUGGUAAGGUAACGGCUUACCAAGGCAACGAUGCGUAGCCGACCUUAGAGGGUGAUCGGCCACACUGGAACUGAGACACGGUCCAGACUCCUACGGGAGGCAGCAGUAGGGAAUCUUCCGCAAUGGGCGAAAGCUUGACGGAGCAACGCCGCGUGAGUGAUGAAGGUCUUCGGAUCGUAAAACUCUGUUAUUAGGGAAGAACAAAUGUGUAAGUAACUAUGCACGUCUUGACGGUACCUAAUCAGAAAGCCACGGCUAACUACGUG
rnacentral:rRNA from 1 species